rnacentral:rRNA from 1 species
AUACGUAGGUGACAAGCGUUAUCCGGAUUUACUGGGCGUAAAGGGCGUGUAGGCGGUCUUGCAAGUCAGAAGUGAAAUUCCUGAGCUCAACUCGGGCGCUGCUUCUGAAACUGCAGGACUUGAGUGCUGGAGGGGAUAGCGGAAUUCCUAGUGGAGCGGUAAAAUGCGCAGAUAUUAGGAAGAACACCGGUGGCGAAGGCGGCUAUCUGGACAGUAACUGACGCUGAGGCCCGAAAGCGUGGGAAGCAAACAGGAUUAGAUACCCGGGUAGUCCACGCCGUAAACGAUGAAUACUAGGUGUAGGGGGUAUCGACUCCCUCUGUGCCGCAGUUAACACAAUAAGUAUUCCGCCUGGGGAGUACGGCCGCAAGGUUGAAACUCAAAGGAAUUGACGGGG